UUUUGCUUCUUCCUCAUUCUGUCUUGCCGCCACAAUGUAAGAAUUGUCUCUCACCCUCUGCCAUGUAAGAAUUCUCUUUCACCCUCUGCCGUGAUCGUGAGACCUUCCCCAGCCAUGUGAAACUUUUUCAGCUUUCCUCCACUGUUUUGGGAAACGUCACCUUCUUAUCUUGGAAGAGUAAUCUCAAAAUUGAAGCAUCUUAGAUCCAACAAGAAUUAAAAGGAUGGGAAGUCCUUGCAGCCAUCCAAUAGAGUCAGAAGACUUUGGAUUUUGGAGUCUGUGAGAUUAUCUUACAGAGCAAGACUGCAGAUCAAGAUUUUCCAACGUGGUGCUGACUUUUUUGAGAACAGUUAAUGAGAACUAGGAAAGUCCUUGCAGACCAUCCAGUCCAGCGGCUUUCAAAUGGAAAAUGUGAAAGGACAACAGAAUCACAUGGAUUCUUUUCUGAACUGCUUUUUUCCAGUGAUGCCAUAUUCUAUAAGACUUCAUGUGAAGGUGUGGAGGACGGGAUGUACUCACAUCCCAACAAAUUGAAAAUGCUGACCAAUCCCAGCACAGCCAACUCGAAUUUGCUCCUUCAUCAAAGUGACCAGCACCUCAUUUCUUCCUCUUUAGAAUUUAUAGAGUCCUAUGGCUAUUGAUAUCUAACAUCCUGGCUUCACUCACAUGGAUGAGCCCCACCUGGAAUGCCUAGAAGACGUGGGACAGCUGGAUCUCUCUCCACACGGUUUUUCAUUGUUGCCUCAGGUUCCAAUAAAAGCAAAAGCUGCAAGGUCUUCUGAGGCAAAGACUUAGAAAUACCACAAUGUUACUUCUGCUGCAUUCUGUUGAUAAAAGAAUCCCACAAUGCCAGCUUCAUUUAAAGGGGUAAAGAUAUAGAUUAUUCACCUUCGAUGGGAGGAACUGCAAAUGAUGUAAUUAGUGAUAAUUUUUAAUAUACUGUAAUGUAUUGACUUAUCUUUAAAAAAUGAAAAAAUAAA
ensembl:lncRNA novel transcript